UUCGAAGGGAGCUAGCGUUGUUCGGAAUCCCUGGGCGUAAAGCGCACGUAGGCGGAUUUGUCAGUCAGGGGUGAAAUCCCGGGGCUCAACCUCGGAACUGCCUUUGAUACAGCAAGUCUUGAGUUCGAGAGAGGUGGGUGGAAUUCCUAGUGUAGAGGUGAAAUUCGUAGAUAUUAGGAAGAACACCGGUGGCGAAGGCGGCCCACUGGCUCGAUACUGACGCUGAGGUGCGAAAGCGUGGGGAGCAAACAGG
rnacentral:rRNA from 1 species